AAGAUAAAUGCUAAGAUCGAACAGUAGGAAAAAAAUCGAUUUAAUUUUGGGGUAUUUUCAUUUUUAAUGAAACGGGGUCUUUUCAUCCGCGAACCCCUUGUUUUGAUAUUAAAUAGUUUAGCUUAUGCGCACCCCUCGGUAUAAUGUUUUGUUUUGAAACCUGUGUUUAUAUUUAUGUUGUUUCCUCACCAAGUUUUCUGCGGUCGCGUUUCGGUUCGCGUAUUUUCUUGCAUGGAUGCAAAUAAAAAACACAGUUUUCGCAGAUAAUCCGCGUUGCUGGCAGUGGCUAAUGGUUCUUCCGAUUCGCACAGCGUGAUCCUUUCGGCAGACAGUGUAUCCGAGAUCCGGGCAGCAGUAGAGACUGCAGAGAAACAACGAUCCUGUGACUACAACGGUACUCGGAAAAAAGGAAUGGGUCUGUAAACUGAGCAGGCAACUCACCACAACGUCUCGAACGAAUAUUCGAUCAGAAGAAAGACGAAUUCCAAAAAUUUUAUCUUCAGUUGGUCGGUCGAAAAGUCGGGAUUUCUCCUUUUACCCAUUCGUCAAACUGGGUAUCGUAUGGGCUCAGCAGAAUGAGUGCGUGUUCCGGAUUUUUCGCGACGAUUCCCUACAUAUCGGCCGACCGAUUCUUAGAAGUGAAUCGAAGCCAAAUGCAAAAGUUUUUCUUUUCACACUGCCACAUGAAUCACAUGCACGAAGUGCACGUCGUAGAUCCACUUAAAGAACUGCAACACAGUCGGAAAGCCUAUCCAAACUAAACGGGCUCUGUCAGGAGUGGUUCUCCCGGAGCCCUCAAAACGUAAUCUCCUCGAAAUUUCCGGCCCUAUACGGAUCGGAGACUCUGUUCAUCGAGCUGUCCGACCACUUUCGGCACAACAUCCACGUCAAACUACAGAGGAACUACAAUGCUACCGAUUCCAGGUCAGAAUAGGUAAUGCGGUUACUUCCGGCAAUACCUCAGGCACCCACGAAUCCUUCUCUGUCAGGGCACCCAUUCACUGUACUAGCGUCGACCGACGUUGGACGGGAAGUACAUCCGGCCGUCGACCAGCGUAGGCGUAUGCUCCCGGUGUAGAGGAAAUGUUAAGGGUAAAGACGUUUGUGCUUUGGAUGGCUGUGUAGAAGGAUCAUGGUACGGAACCAGCAACUUGGCAUGGAGGAUUUUCAUUGCCUGAAGCAGCUACGUCGUCCAGCAUCUCUAGUCAAUAUCAUCCAGCUACAAAGAUCAAAACUCACAAUUCUGCGUUGAAUAGGACCAAAUCGCACAGUUAUGUUUUAUUGUAUUUAUGUGUGGGUUUUGCUUACAAUAAUAAAAAGUAUUGGAAAGGGGUGGGGGAAGGGAAUUGUAUCGUAACGUAUCCGAAAAAUCAUCAUUGAUAUGAAGAGGAUGUAGAGGAUUUCUAGGUUAUACAUACUAAAUAUUUGUUAUAAGCAAUAGGUAAGGUUCACCAUGUUUUCUCAAUUUGCAAGGUGAUGCAAGAACUAUUUUCUUCUAAAAUUAGUCACGUAAAAAAAACUACUGGAGUUGUUCCAAUUGAUUGUAAAUUAAUUUUGCUCUGUGUUAGUACUUGUUCUACACUCAAAUUAAUUCACUGAUAGAAUCUAAGUGCAGAAAGCACAUAGAUUACGAAGGAGAGAGAGAAAAAUCAUUCUAUGUGCAACUAAUGGAAAUUAAAAGUUACAUUAUUAUAUUUCAUUCUUCCGAUAAUAUUUUUGGAGUGUAGCAACAUAAAAAGCAACACUUUCUACAUUAAAUCCAAGCACAAGCAUAACAAGCAUGAAACGAUCAUGGCGCGUGCAGAAGACAUACAAAUUCAAACGUGGUGCUCCGUGGAUUGAGUCUUGCUGUUUUUGAAGGUAAGAAGUUACGUUAUUAUUCAGGCUUCACAAACUUUAUCAAACUACGUGCAUUCCUUUUGUAUUUUCUAUAGGACUGCACUACAAUGUCGACUGCUUCUCCACCGUCACCAAUGACGAACUUGCGAACGGUUUGGGAGCUGCCGGAUGCAGCUGCGACUGAGAGCCUGAAAUGAGGACGUGCUAUGGACAGCUAUAAUACCAAGUACAAUACCUAAAUUCAAGUAUUAAGUUUAAAUAAAAUCAGCCUGAUCGUAGACUAUGCGAACUUUUUGAUUUAUUUACAUUUUGAAGCUCUUCCCACGCGUAAAUCAUGUUAUUAUUCGUCAUAAUGAAAACUAUGCACUUAACGAUUGGAAAUCAAUAGCGACGCACAUAAAUUCUAUCAUGGUUGAAUCGGAAAAGAUUCAAUAGCGCUGCACUCAUUUUCCAAGUGUGAAAGCAACUGGUCACGAUCUAAGUGCAGAACUUUUAAAUUUAAUAUGCUAUUUAU